rnacentral:siRNA from 1 species
UUUUGGACGUCUGAGAACUCAA